rnacentral:rRNA from 1 species
AGGACGAACGCUGGCGGCGUGCUUAACACAUGCAAGUCGAGCGGAAAGGCCCUUCGGGGUACUCGAGCGGCGAACGGGUGAGUAACACGUGAGUAACCUGCCCCAGACUUUGGGAUAACCCUCGGAAACGGGGGCUAAUACCGGAUAUGACACUUCACCGCAUGGUGUGGGUGUGGAAAGUUUUUCGGUUUGGGAUGGGCUCGCGGCCUAUCAGCUUGUUGGUGGGGUGAUGGCCUACCAAGGCGACGACGGGUAGCCGGCCUGAGAGGGUGACCGGCCACACUGGGACUGAGACACGGCCCAGACUCCUACGGGAGGCAGCAGUGGGGAAUAUUGCACAAUGGGCGCAAGCCUGAUGCAGCGACGCCGCGUGAGGGAUGACGGCCUUCGGGUUGUAAACCUCCUUCAGUAGGGAAGAAGCGAAAGUGACGGUACCUGCAGAAGAAGCGCCGGCUAACUACGUGCCAGCAGCCGC